GCGAGAGCGACCUAACCCGCGUCCCCCCGACCCCCCGGCCUCCUCCUCCCUCUCCAUCACCCUCUCGCUCGUCGCCGCCGCCGCCCUGGCCUCCCCCGCCGCUCAUCUCCCCUACUCCGGCGCGCCCUCUCGCUAGCCGCCACAUCCGUCAGCCCAUGGAUUUCGGCGCAACCACUCUCGGCCGCCACCUCUCCUCUCAUCUCCUCGUUUCCUCCAAAUUUCCUGAUCUGGAGUUGGAGAGGCAAAUACGUCCGCCGACGCCAUGGAGAUGGAGGAGGCUGCAACUGGUGCUGGAAAGCCAUGGGUGGCGGAGAGGAGGAAGGGAGUAGGGGCCCGACCGUCUCCGCGCCUCCUCUCGCCGAGCUGCGGCUCACCCCUGCGCGCGCGCUCUCUCUCUCUCUCUCUCUCUCUCUCAGGUACUCUCUCCUGCAUCUCGCGCGAAGCCGUCCUGCUGGUGGCUCGAGCGAUGCAGGCAGCAGCGAGCGCCAGUGAGUGUAGGAGCCUGGCAGCGGGAGCGUUGGCGCCGGUGAGUGCAGGAGCCUGGCAGUGGGAGCAUUGGCGCGACGACCACCGUGUCGCAGGUCAAGACUUGGGAGUGCAUCUGGAAUCCCGGGUUGUCCUGGUUGUUCAUCGUUCGGCUUGCUACCUGGGGCUAAUGAGUUGUUGAAGGCAGAUGAGAUUAUAGUGCAAAUUGACUCAAGGUCAAUUGCUGUGUCACAUAUUCCUCACAAUGUAAAGCUGGAAGAUGUUCAAUCUUUCUUUGGUCAGUAUGGCAAGGUUAACAUCGUAAGGCUUCCAAAACAUGUUUCUAACAAGAGGCAGUUCUCCGGCACAUCUUUGGUCGAAUUUUCGGAAGAAGUUGAAGCUAACAAUAUCAUGAAUAACAAACUUAGUUUUGCAGGAGCGGAUCUAGAAAUAAAAACAAAGAAGGAAUUUGAUGCUGAAAUGGAGGCUAAGAAAGAAGCUUAUGAGAAGUCGCACCCUAAUACACACCCUAAUAAGAAUGGUCAUGACGAAGGCUUAUGGUGACACAGAACAAAAUGGUGGGGACAAAGUUGAUAAUAGCGACAAUGCCAAGAAGGAAGGGGUGGAAUCGGGGAAAGCUUGUGAAGAGAAGGCCCCUGAGAACACUGAUGCCAAGGAAGAGAAGUCAGAUGAUGCUGAGGAGUUGAAAGUGUCAGAUGCACAAGGGAGCGGGCUGCUCUCGGUGCUCGACCGGGCGCUCACCGACGAGGAGGAGUACCGCCGCGCGCGCCCAGGUGCAGCGCAAGGACGUGGAGGCAGAGGGGUACGCCGUCGAGGGUAUCUCGGUGAGCGGGCACGAGACCUGCAUCACCGUGCCGUCCCUCAACGUCGCAUUUGACAUCGGCCGCGGCCCGCUCUUCGCCGUGCGCUAGGACCACCUCUUCAUCACGCACGCCACCUCGACCACAUCGUCCUUUUGUCAGUGUCUUCAAUUGCUUUGCUGAAUAGUGGGUGGUAGCUGCUUGAGUGAAGAUCUUCGUAUCGAGGUUUGUUUACUACCGUGGAUUGCUUAUAUCACCUUGUUCUGUAAUUGUCUGUUACUUGUUGUACACAUACUGACUAGGCGUUGUGUCCGUGUUGCUGUUUUCCAUUUGCCUUUGCUGGUUAACUUACUUUUCAAGGACUAUUUCUUCUGCUCAGGAUGUGCCCUACUGUAUCUUUUGUGAUUCCUAUUUUGGAGACCCUGGCGGCGCAUGUUCCUUUGCCUACUCUUUUGUACAUGUGUGAGAUAGCCGACGAUGGGGCUGUGAUUGCUGGUGUUGAGCUUGAGCUUCCUACGGAUAGUGUGUCCCUGCUUCCAGAUAGGACGUUGCUAAAAUUUCUGCAGGGGGGCUAUGGGUUUGUUAUCAGGGACUACGGGUUUCAUAGUGUUGGUUCAUACCAUUCAGGAGCAGUGCUGGUGCUAAGAACGCUGGCAAUGCAAAGAAAACAAGGCAGUAAUUCAUCUAUCGCCUAAGAUGACCAUGGACGUACGGUUCUUCUGUACAUAGACGCUCGCUGCUUUGGCAAAGGCCCUUAUAACCUACGCCAGCAAGGACUAGCCAAGACCUCGCCGCAGUUGUCUUCAUGCACUUGUCUUUGCAACCUUUUGGACACGCUGCUACUAUUUUGCUUGUGUGUUUGCAAAUCCAGGUUUUGGUGCUCAUAGAGUAAUGCCCAAGAUCUGUUUGAUGCAAUUCCCUAUUAAGCUCUGUAGUAGACCAUUUUUAUCUGUUGUGAAUAUUGUCGUUCAAACUAUCUUCUUACCCCUACCUUCUUACCCCAACUGUCGUG